AUCAGAACUAAAGGGAUAUUUUGUAGUAACAAGAAUCAGGACACAAAAGGGAUUUGAAUUAUAGGUAAAGGAUAGACUUGAAAUGAAAUUAAAAUAAAGGACAAAACAGAAUUAAAAAGAAGGGGAGGGCAAUUGGGUCAACCAAUCAAAAGGAUGUUAAAUCGUGAAAAGGGGGCUUCAUCUUCAACCUUACGACACCAGAUAACCAACGGAAACCUCCGCUGGUUUCGAAGGAUACAACUCACUCACCUUUAAUGUGUUCAAUCUGAAAUUUCAGGUAUUGGUUUGUAGUAUCUAGGGCUCUUAGAAGCACUCAACAACAGAUCCAAUAUUUGGAUAUUGUGCUAAUAAUCAAUGACUGAAACAGGCCUGGGCGGUGGAUCACAAACCAGGUCUGAAUCUGGUUAUGAAACUCACAGCAAGAAGAUUGAAUGGGAGGGGGAAUCUACUGUUCGAAUUGCCCAGGGAAAGGGUUCCUUCGACCCUAAUUACAGGGAGAAAAGAGAGGUGGGGAAGAGAUAAUGAAGGCCAAGAGGGGGCCUGCUGUUACCGCCAGAAACAGAGAAGAAGCAGCAACAAAAGAAGAGAGA